GUGCUGCUCCGCCUCGGCUACAUCGACUUCGACGCCGACGGUUCGGUAAGGCACUCCCCCCAUCUUCUCUUAUCCUUCCAGCCGCCGCACCUCACGCGCGAGUCCGAAGGCGCAACGCGCACUACACACACCGCCUAGGUGCCCCUUCCCCGGCGUCUUUGUGAUGCUCGACGCCACCGCCCGACCCUCUGCCGCGGCAGGCAGCCGAUGCCUUUCCCCCAAGCGCUGCCUCGGCGCCCCUCUCCUGGUCUCGGUAGGAUUCUUGAUUGUGCCUCCAUCAUCUCUGUGAACGGCCGUCGCUAUUGUGCGUUCCUCUCGUGGUUAAAAUAAUUGUACAUCUUCUCUGCCUAUUUGGUAUGUAAGUAGUGUGUUUUCCUCUUCUGGUUGAUAUGCAAGUAAUGCGUGCCCAUUGGAAGUUAAUGUCAUAUAGGAAAGAGGGAAGCACCACAAUGAACUGCAGCCGAGUUCGAGGAAUAAUUGUUCUUAUAAUGCAAUUUGGGCUCUGUUAAUUGGUGAAUUCUAUUUUAGAAGUCCACUUUUAUAGGGAAAAAGUAGGUGCCACAAUCUUGAACUCCCUGUUAGUGUUAGAUAUUCAAGGACCUGAUUUAGAUUAACCUUGUAGUUUUGAUAUGUUGAAUCACAAGCUAGCAAUAAUCUGUUGUAUGCUUGCACCAAAUCCUUUAAAAAUAUGUUCUUUCAACAACUGUUUAUAUGUCAAGUCCUCCAAAUUAGGAACACAGCUAAUGACACCACAUGUGAGUUUGAUACUGCAUUUAUGAUCAGUUCCGCUGAAUAAGUACUGAGCAAAUGACACGAUAUUUAUUAAAAAUAAGGAACUGCUUUUGCCUACUGACAACCAUCACAAAUAAGUAAUUUAGUUUUUAGUGAAAAAUGAAAUGACUUGAUUCUUAUAUAGUUAGAAGAAUUCCCUUUUCUUUUUAAUGUGCAUUAUGAAUUAAAUUAAAAGUAUGCAUUUAACUUUCAGCAGUGCAUGUCCAAGUCAGCUGUAAUGCAAAUCACAAACUAAAGGCUCACAUAUAGAGAAAUGACAUCACCUAGGGCUCAGCAUACGUAGUACUUGAAUAGGAGCAGGAUUAUGUAAUACAUAUCCGCUUGUGAGAUGUGAAUUAAAUGACUAAUAAACACUUUGUAUUAUGACAUGCAUAAAAAAAUCUGGUAGUAGUUUUCAUGUGUUGUAGACUUGUAGUUUGAUUGCGUUUAUAUUGUCCUGUCAUGAAAGUUAACAAUGGGUUUAUGUGAUAUUCAGGGGUGCUGUUCAAAGAAUUAGGUAGCUUGCCUGAAUUCUUCUUGUGGGAGUUGUGCAGAAUCCAGGACAAU
rnacentral:lncRNA from 1 species